GUACGGGAGGCAGCAGUGGGGAAUUUUGCGCAAUGGGCGAAAGCCUGACGCAGCAACGCCGCGUGAGGGACGAAGGCCUUCGGGUUGUAAACCUCUUUUAAUCGGGAAGAACCCCUCCCUUGCAAAUAGUGGGGGAGGCUGACGGUACCGAUAGAAUAAGCCACGGCUAACUCUGUGCCAGCAGCCGCGGUAAGACAGAGGUGGCGAGCGUUGUUCGGAUUUAUUGGGCGUAAAGAGCGCGUAGGCGGUCCUGUAAGUCGGUGGUGAAAUCCCGGGGCUUAACCCCGGAAUUGCCCUCGAUACUGCUGGACUUGAGUGCGGGAGAGGAUAGUGGAAUUCCUAGUGUAGAGGUGAAAUUCGUAGAUAUUAGGAAGAACACCAGUGGCGAAGGCAGCUAUCUGGACCGCAACUGACGCUGAGGCGCGAAAGCGUGGGGAGCAAACAGGAUUAGAUACCCGUGUAGUCCU
rnacentral:rRNA from 1 species